rnacentral:rRNA from 1 species
UACGUAGGGCGCAAGCGUUGUCCGGAAUUAUUGGGCGUAAAGAGCUCGUAGGCGGCUUGUCACGUCGGGUGUGAAAGCCCGGGGCUUAACCCCGGGUCUGCAUUCGAUACGGGCAGGCUAGAGUGUGGUAGGGGAGAUCGGAAUUCCUGGUGUAGCGGUGAAAUGCGCAGAUAUCAGGAGGAACACCGGUGGCGAAGGCGGAUCUCUGGGCCAGUACUGACGCUGAGGAGCGAAAGCGUGGGUAGCAAACAGG